rnacentral:rRNA from 1 species
UACGUAGGGGGCAAGCGUUGUCCGGAUUUAUUGGGCGUAAAGAGCGUGUAGGCGGCCAUGCAGGUCCGUUGUGAAAACUCGAGGCUCAACCUCGAGACGCCGAUGGAAACCGCAUGGCUAGAGUCCGGAAGAGGAGAGUGGAAUUCCUGGUGUAGCGGUGAAAUGCGCAGAUAUCAGGAAGAACACCCGUGGCGAAGGCGGCUCUCUAGUACGGUACUGACGCUGAGACGCGAAAGCGUGGGGAGCGAACAGG